rnacentral:rRNA from 1 species
UNGGAAUUACUGGGCGUAAAGCGAGCGCAGACGGUUUAUUAAGCAAGAUGUGAANUCCCCGAGCUUAACUUGGGAACUGCGUUUUGAACUGGUAAGCUAGAGUAUGUCAGAGGGGGGUAGAAUUCCACGUGUAGCAGUGAAAUGCGUAGAGAUGUGGAGGAAUACCGAUGGCGAAGGCAGCCCCCUGGGAUAAUACUGACGUUCAUGCUCGAAAGCGUGGGUAGCAAACAGGAUUAGAUACCCUGGUAGUCCACGCCCUAAACGAUGUCAAUUAGCUGUUGGGCAACAUGAUUGCUUAGUAGCGUAGCUAACGCGUGAAAUUGACCGCCUGGGGAGUACGGUCGCAAGAUUAAAACUCAAAGGAAUUGACGGGGACCCGCACAAGCGGUGGAUGAUGUGGAUUAAUUCGAUGCAACGCGAAGAACCUUACCUGGUCUUGACAUGUACGGAAUCUUCCAGAGACGGAAGAGUGCCUUCGGGAGCCGUAACACAGGUGCUGCAUGGCUGUCGUCAGCUCGUGUCGUGAGAUGUUGGGUUAAGUCCCGCAACGAGCGCAACCCUUGUCAUUAGUUGCCACCAUUCAGUUGGGCACUCUAAUGAGACUGCCGGUGACAAACCGGAGGAAGGUGGGGAUGACGUCAAGUCCUCAUGGCCCUUAUGACCAGGGCUUCACACGUCAUACAAUGGUCGGUACAGAGGGUAGCCAAGCCGCGAGGUGGAGCCAAUCUCAGAAAACCGAUCGUAGUCCGGAUUGCACUCUGCAACUCGAGUGCAUGAAGUCGGAAUCGCUAGUAAUCGCAGGUCAGCAUACUGCGGUGAAUACGUUCCCGGGUCUUGUACACACCGCCCGUCACACCAUGGGAGUGGGGGAUACCAGAAGUAGGUAGGCUAACCGCAAGGAGGCCG